CCUACGGGUGGCAGCAGUGGGGAAUAUUGCACAAUGGGGGAAACCCUGAUGCAGCGACGCCGCGUGAGUGAAGAAGUCUUUCUGUAUGUAAAGCUCUAUCAGCAGGGAAGAAGAAAGACGGUACCUGACUCAGAAGCCCCGGCUAACUACGUGCCAGCAGCCGCGGUCAUACGUAGGGGGCAAGGGUUAUCCGGAUUUCCUGGGUGUAAAGGGAGCGUAGAGGGGUGUGCAAGUCUGAAGUGAAAGCCCAGGGCUCAACCCUGGGACUGCUUUGGAACCUGUGGAGCUAGAGUGCGGGAGAGGUAAGUGGAAUUCGUAGUGUAGCGGUGAAAUGCGUAGAUAUUAGGAAGAACACCAGUGGCGAAGGCGGCUUACUGGACAGUAACUGACGUUGAGGCUCGAAAGCGUGGGGAGCAAACAGGAUUAGAUACCCUUGUAGUC
rnacentral:rRNA from 1 species